rnacentral:rRNA from 1 species
CAGUAGCCGCGGUAAUACGUAGGGUGCGAGCGUUGUCCGGAAUUAUUGGGCGUAAAGAGCUUGUAGGCGGUCUGUCGCGUCUGCUGUGAAAACCCGAGGCUCAACCUCGGGCCUGCAGUGGGUACGGGCAGACUAGAGUGCGGUAGGGGAGAACGGAACUCCUGGUGUAGCGGUGGAAUGCGCAGAUAUCAGGAAGAACACCGAUGGCGAAGGCAGUUCUCUGGGCCGUAACUGACGCUGAGAAGCGAAAGCGUGGGGAGCGAACAGGAUUAGAUACCCGGGUAGUCCCUGUCUCUUAUAA